UACGGAGGGUGCAAGCGUUAUCCGGAUUCACUGGGUUUAAAGGGUGCGUAGGCGGAUAGGGAAGUCCGUGGUGAAAUCCUGCAGCUUAACUGCAGAACUGCCGUGGAUACUCUCUAUCUUGAAUAUCGUGGAGGUUAGCGGAAUAUGUCAUGUAGCGGUGAAAAUGCUUAGAUAUGACAUAGAACACCCAUUGCGAAGGCAGCUAAACUACGCGAUCAUUGACGCUGAUGCACAAAGCGUGGGGGAUCA
rnacentral:rRNA from 1 species